rnacentral:rRNA from 1 species
UUUUGAAGGGCCGCGGUAUUUUGACCGUGCAAAGGUAGCGUAAUCGUUAGUUCCUUAAUUGGGAUCCUGUAUGAAUGGUUAGAUAAGAGAAAUUCUGUCUUUAUAUUAAGAAUUGAAUUUAACUUUUAAGUGAAAAGGCUUAAAUUUAUUAAAAAGACGAUAAGACCCUAUAAAGCUUAACGUUUAUAAUUUGUUUAGAAGAAUUAAUAAAUAUAAAAAUUGAAAUAAUUAAAUUUGUUUUAUUGGGGUGAUAAAAGUAAAAUGAUUUUUAACUGCUUUAAAUUAUUUACAUAAGUAUAUGAUUAGUUUAUAAAUGAUCCUGUUUUAAGAUUUAAAGUUUAAGUUACUUUAGGGAUAACAGCGUUAUUUUUUUUGAGAGUACAAAUCGAAAAGAAAGUUUGCGACCUCGAUGUUGAAUUAAAAUUUCUUUACAGAUGCAAUAACUGUAAAAGUUGGUCUGUUCGACCUUUAAAAUUUUACACG